CUGCACUAGGUGGAGAAUUAGCGGAACUCCGUACCCAAACGCUAUAUGUGGGGCUGACAAACUAUAUGCGGGAAUAACUGAAUAUAAUUUAUACUUAACCGGAUUGUUGAGUUUAAGGUCUUAUGCAAUACUUUGCUGUGAAUCAUGUCAGGGUAGGAAUACAGCAGCAUUAAAUAGAUUUAAGUAUGUGCCAUAAGGUUGCUUUAAAGGAGAUUUGAUUAUUUAUGGAUUAUAUAUCAAGUGUUUUCAAUUAUAGCCGUGCAG
rnacentral:SRP_RNA from 1 species